UACGGAGGGUGCAAGCGUUAUCCGGAUUCACUGGGUUUAAAGGGUGCGUAGGCGGGCAGGUAAGUCCGUGGUGAAAUCUCUAAGCUUAACUUGGAAACUGCCAUGGAUACUAUAUGUCUUGAAUGUUGUGGAGGUUAGCGGAAUAUGUCAUGUAGCGGUGAAAUGCAUAGAUAUGACAUAGAACACCAAUUGCGAAGGCAGCUGGCUACACAAAUAUUGACGCUGAGGCACGAAAGCGUGGGGAUCAAACAGG
rnacentral:rRNA from 1 species